rnacentral:misc_RNA from 1 species
GAUGAAGAACGCAGCGAAAUGCGAUAAGUAAUGCGAAUUGCAGAAUUCCAGUGAGUCAUCGAAUCUUUGAACGCACAUUGCGCCCUUUGGUAUUCCGAAGGGCAUGCCUGUUCGAGCGUCAUUAUCACCCCUCAAGCCCCCGGCUUGGUGUUGGAUGGUUUGGCGGAGGCCCUUUGCGGCCACCGCCCCUCCCAAAGACAAUGACGGCGGCCUCGUUGGACCCCCGGUACACUGAGUUCUUCACGGGACACGUACUGGACACAAGGGUGCGCGGGGCACGGUCUACUUCCCUUCUAGGGAGAACUUUUCUCAAGGUUGACCUCGGAUCAGGUAGGGAUACCCGCUGAACUUAAGCAUAUCAAUAAGCGGAGGA